AGUGAACGCUGGCGGUAGGCCUAACACAUGCAAGUCGAACGGCAGCACAGAGGAGCUUGCUCCUCGGGUGACGAGUGGCGGACGGGUGAGUAAUGUCUGGGGAUCUGCCCGAUAGAGGGGGAUAACCACUGGAAACGGUGGCUAAUACCGCAUAACGUCGCAAGACCAAAGAGGGGGACCUUCGGGCCUCUCACUAUCGGAUGAACCCAGAUGGGAUUAGCUAGUAGGCGGGGUAACGGCCCACCUAGGCGACGAUCCCUAGCUGGUCUGAGAGGAUGACCAGCCACACUGGAACUGAGACACGGUCCAGACUCCUACGGGAGGCAGCAGUGGGGAAUAUUGCACAAUGGGCGCAAGCCUGAUGCAGCCAUGCCGCGUGUAUGAAGAAGGCCUUCGGGUUGUAAAGUACUUUCAGCGGGGAGGAAGGCGAUGUGGUUAAUAACCGCGUCGAUUGACGUUACCCGCAGAAGAAGCACCGGCUAACUCCGUGCCAGCCGCCGCCGUAA
rnacentral:rRNA from 1 species